UUCUGCGAGACGGUGCGUGCUCAGCACCA
rnacentral:sRNA from 1 species